rnacentral:lncRNA from 7 species
AAAGUGAGUCCAGUUGUCUUUCGGGUUAAUUGUCAUUAUACGGCAGGAGAACAUCUCCAGAAUGAAACUGGCACUGCUGCUAAUGCUGGCCAUGCUGGCAGUGUUCUGCCAUCCCGCUUCACCUUGUGAACUCCUCCAGAAAGUAAUGGAAAGGUUUCUCUUUGGGUCUGUUGAUGAGUUUAUGGAUGCAGUAUCUCCAUUCAUCACAACGCCUGCUAUGAAUGCAAUGGAAAUCAGUUUGAAGAAGUGUAUGCAGGCUUCCGUCACAGACAAACAGGCCCUUGCAUUCCUGAUGACUCAGCUAUCUGGCAAGUGCUAAAGACAACGCGAAUGUGGGCAUGUGCUAUCGUUGAGGAGCCAGCGAGAAGCCGAAGACCAUAGAAUGAAUGAUAGAAUCACUGAACGCCCUGGGCUGAAAAGGCCCUCCAAGACCAUGUAGUUUGAACCCCCGGCUGAUACCUGCCUGUCCCAACAACUACCGAGCACUUUCUUCUCUCCCACCCCGCAGUCACUACUCCUUAUAAAGAACCUCCUCUCAAUUCACGUUUCAAUAAACCCAAUGCGAUUCAGCCC